rnacentral:lncRNA from 1 species
CAGCACUGGGUAUGAUUUCUUCAAGCUCUGCAGAUGAGCUUCACCCAGGGCUGGUGCUCUCUGUGCUUUCCUCUUAAUUGUAUCCCUGGUUGCCCAUGAACAUACUUCUGAAGGAAGUAAACUGGAAAUCUGAAGGAGGCAGACCAGCUAACUGGGAGCCUGGGAAGAGGAGGUUCCAGCUGUGGUUCUAAGCACACCUUUUACCACCAGGAGGAAAUAUGAGGUGUGAAGUAUUUCUGGCAGAAGCUCAAGAAUUACUGAGAAUGAAAAGGAAGACCACAGGGUGGGUCAGUAGCAGGAUUUUUCAUAUAAAACACACACCGAAAGUGCCAAAGACAUACGCUGCUUUAUUGUGGACAGAUGUUUUACUCUAUACUAAAAAUAAUCUUUUUU